AGCUCCAAUAGCGUAUAUUAAAGUUGUUGCGGUUAAAAAGCUCGUAGUUGGAUUUCUGCUGAGGACGACCGGUCCGCCCUCUGGGUGAGCAUCUGGUUCGGCCUUGGCAUCUUCUUGGAGAACGUAACUGCACUUGACUGUGUGGUGCGGUAUCCAGGACUUUUACUUUGAGGAAAUUAGAGUGUUUCAAGCAGGCGCACGCCUUGAAUACAUUAGCAUGGAAUAAUAAGAUAGGACCUUGGUUCUAUUUUGUUGGUUUCUAGAGCUGAGGUAAUGAUUAAUAGGGAUAGUUGGGGGCAUUCGUAUUUAACUGUCAGAGGUGAAAUUCUUGGAUUUGUUAAAGGCGGACUACUUCGAAAGCAUUUGCCAAGGAUGUUUUCA
rnacentral:rRNA from 1 species